rnacentral:lncRNA from 1 species
CGGACACGGGUUUUCUCGAAGAGCUCGUCCAGGGCUCCGAACAUGACCAUGGAGGCCUCUGCACGACCCUCCUUCAUGGUGGCGGUGUUCUCGGAGGAGGCCAUGACGGCUUUGGGGAUGUAGGUUUCAUCUCCGAUGCCGGAGGACAUUAACAUCCUCUUUUGGAAUUGAAGACUCUCUUCGUCGAACUUCCCUGAUUUUCUGGCCACUUCCAUCAACUCCUCCCUUGACACCUGCCAUGCCAUGCAACGUAUAAUCAUCUACUUCAUCUUUUUCACUUGGAUGCAACUGAAUACCAUUUUUUUCUAAUAUUUUCUUUUUCCAUCAAAAAUCCAGUUUUAUUUUGAUAAAACUAUGCACUUCAUUAAAGAUUUUCAAAUAAAAGUAUUUAUUAUUAAGGUAUAUUAUCUUCAACAUGUACAAGAUUCUUUCUUAAAAAUUAAAUUGUCUUAUUUUAAGGUAUCUCUCCACAAAUUAUCUCUUACAUUAAUUGUUUUUCUUGAGCACAGUACCCUUGAUUGUUUUGUAUUUCUUAUAGUCAAUAAGCAAUAAAUGUUUUAAAUUGUUAAGAUGAUAUUAAUUUUUUUUCUUGUUAGUAUUUUUGGAAAUGACUAACAAAAGUUAAUUACUUGUUUUUGCCACUUCAAACUUUUGAUCUUUAUCCUUUUUAUUUUUAGUUUCAACAUAUUGAUUGUUUCACACUUUUUAAAUUGUACACUUGUACUUAGUUAAGUGAUUAAGACUGUUUUUCAGCUGAGUAUGGGUACUUUGUGUUUCAAGUUACUUUUGUAGAAUAUAAAAUUAUUUCAUGAAAAGAUAAAUCAAAUGGUUAGAAAUUUGAAAUAAUAUGCAAAAUUAUUAAAGAGAUAAAUUAAACAUUUUUUAAUUUACGUUAAAAAUCUAAAUUUUCAAAUGGAAAUGAGAAGGGUGAUGAGAUCACCAAUCAUAUAUUAAACUUUCCAAAUAAAUUUAUUGUUAUUUAACUAACUUUGUAAUUGAUGUUAUUAGUUAAUAAGUGCCUUUAAUACAUACACAUUAGAGAGGGAGAAACUAGUAAAGAUUUUCCUUUGAAAAAGAAAGAAAUCUGAAAAACAAAAAGUAAUAAAGGCGAUUCAAUGGUAACUAAUCAUUUCCCAUAAGAAGUUGAGUUCAACUCCUCUUUAGUUAUGUAAGUAGUUUUAUACGAGUUGUUUAAUUUUUGAAGUAUUAAUAAACCUCUAAGAUCCAACUUAUAUAACUUUUUUAUAUGCAAAAAUAAAAUAAAAAUAACAUUACUACUAGUCAUCGGAAUAGUAUAUAUCAUUUAAAACUGUCAAACGACCAAGUACCAAAGUAUUUAGAUAAACUUUGUUAUUAUUAAAGUUAUGAUUAAAAUCAUAAAUAUUCUUAAAAAAGCUAAACAAACAUUUCUGGAAAAUUUUAAAUUCAAAUUUAAAAACUAUAUAAUAGUUUUGAAAACCUAAGACAAUUAAAGUGGUAAUUAUUUCUUCACCUACCUAAAAAAAAGUAAUAAUCUCUUGUUAUUUUUGUAAUGAAUUAUAAUUAAACUCCUAUAAUUUUGUUUUAUAAGACCAUUGAGUUUGAAUAAAAUAAACAUUUAUUGUAAUGAGAUAAACGAAAAUUGAACAGGGUGCAGAAGAAUUUAAGGUGGCCAAUGAGCAGUGUGUUUAGAUAAACGAAAAAGAAGAUGGAUGGACCAAUGAUGGUGAAAAUUCUUGUGGGUAUAAUCAAGCAUUUAUGAAUGAGUGUUUUAUAUUUAUAUGAUAAUACAGUGAAGGAAAGGAAAAACAUACCUUGAGUUCAUCAUCUGGUUUAAAGCAUGCAAAAUCAAUGAGGUAAAUGGGUCGAGGGCGUGACAUGAAGUAAACAGACAAAGUGAAGACGAAGACCCCAAAGGAAGCAAGAACAGUGGCAAGGUCGUAACGCGCAUCUUCCCAAAGCUUCUUCCAAAGGUCUUCUUUGCUGAGGCUUCCAACCUCAGCACUGAAGACCACCAGAAGAACAGGUAUGGUCAACAAGUAUAUGCCAUGGUUUAUCAGAUAAUGGUAACCCAAUUUAACGUACUUGAGGUUAACGGACUGAAGAAAAUCCGGCAAACGCCUCCUAACCCUGACGGAGAAGGUCAAGGACCCAGCGUUUGGCCCAGAAGACUCAAUCCCACGGUUCACAAUCUCCGCCGAGAACAGAUCACGUUCACUGGCCAUGAUCGAUGAACAAUGAUCUAUGAUGAUGAUGAUGAUACUGUGAGUAUAUAUAUAUGUAUAUACUCACAAUUUAUGUGGGAUUGUGAUUGUGUAGAUGUUUUA